AUUGAACGCUGGCGGCAUGCCUUACACAUGCAAGUCGAACGGUAACGGGCCUUCGGGUGCCGACGAGUGGCGAACGGGUGAGUAAUGUAUCGGAACGUACCUUUCAGUGGGGGAUAACGUAGCGGAAGUUACGCUAAUACCGCAUAUUCUGUGAGCAGGAAAGCAGGGGAUCGCAAGACCUUGCGCUGAUUGAGCGGCCGAUAUCAGAUUAGCUAGUUGGUGAGGUAAAGGCUCACCAAGGGGACGUUCUGUAGCGGGUCUGAGAGGAGGAUCCACCAAGCGGGAACUGAGACACGGUCCAGACUCAUACGGGAGGCAGCAGUGGGGAAUUUUGGACAAUGGGGGCAACCCUGAUCCAGCCAUGCGGCGUGAGUGAAGAAGGCCUUCGGGUUGUAAAGCUCUUUCGGCCGGGAAGAAAUCGUAUCAGCUAAUACCUGGUGCGGAUGACGGUACCGGCAUAAGAAGCACCGGCUAACUACGUGCCAGCCGCCGCCGUAACAC
rnacentral:rRNA from 1 species